rnacentral:rRNA from 1 species
GUCCUGGCAGUAAACGGUGCACGUUUGGUGUGGGAGGAUUCGACCCCUUCCGUGCCGGAGCUAACGCGUUAAACGUGCCGCCUGGGGAGUACGGUCGCAAGAUUAAAAACUCAAAGAAAUUGACGGGGGCCCGCACAAGCGGUGGAGUAUGUGGCUUAAUUCGAUGCAACGCGAAGAACCUUACCUGGCCUUGACAUGCAGGGAUUAUCCGGAUGAAAGUCCGGGGAUUGCCGCAAGGUGUAACCUGCACAGGUGCUGCAUGGCUGUCGU